AUUUGAACUUUAAGACAGGUACUAUUUAAGAAAGAAUUUCUGAUAACACAUUUUUUAAAGUCCGUGAGUUUUAUCUAUUAAGAAUAUCGACAAGUACUUUCCAAAUCUUGAGUUUCAAAAAGUAUCCAUAGGGAGGAAAGGUAAUUUCAUAUGCAGUGUUACCAAAAGACAACUCUAUUCUAAGCAUUAUAUAUAGGGGUCUUUUUUAAAAAAGCUUUACUAGCUGUUUCCAUAAAACAGAUGUGAAGGAGUUGAGAUGAAAAAGGACAUUUUCAGAGUAUAAAAAACUUGGAAAACGAUGAUUAGGCAGAAUUAAUUUAUACCCUAAGAUCUACACUCACAUCUGAAUAGCAAAGCCUCAAGAGGUCCUUUCCUUUUAUUACAUUUUUAGUAGUUGUGCCAUCUUUUUUUGUUUUGUUUUGUUUUUGUUUUUGUUUUUGGUACCGGGGAUCAAACUCGGGUCCUUGCACUUGCAAGGCAGGCACCGGAACCACUGAGCUAAAUCCCCAUCCCAGUUGUGCCUUCUUUAAUGUUUACUUUGGACAUUGUUUGCCUAGAAAUCAGUUGUUUAAUUUUUCCCAUCAUAUUGAUUUUACAGUUACAUCUGAGUUUACAGUUCAUACCUGUCUUUAACUUAAUAGUCUUUAACAGUUAUUUUCAUUUUUUAUUACUUGAUUGGUGAUAGCUGCAAAAAAUUUAGUACAUAGAAUUUUUAUGAUUAUCAUGUGAAUUUUUUUUUUUUUCUGUGUAAGGUAUCUGCCCCAGAAACUGGUACUGGAGAGAGAUUAAUGAACAGAUGAGAAUCAACAGUUGAGUUUAAAAGUUUUUAAUUACUCUAUAGUUGGUGAGUUCAUAGGUUAUGUAAUAUCUUUUAAGUUAACUAAUUGAAGCCUUCUGAAGUUGCAAAGAAUUUAUCUAAUGAAUCUGUCUUUGCACUGAUACUGAUCCAUGGUGGGUUUGCUGAAUGGCCUUUGAUUCUUGUGCCCAAUGGAAGGUAUGAAACUCAAACAAGAUUUCAUUAUGUUAUGGACAGGCACAAAUUGGGUUUCUAGUAUUUUGGAUAAUUGUAAUAACUGGCAAUUCUAAGUUAUAUUUAGUUUUUGGAGCAAGUUAGUAUGUUUUUUAGUAGUUUGUUGUACUUUAGGUGGUAAUUUCGUCACACUGAGC
rnacentral:lncRNA from 1 species